rnacentral:rRNA from 1 species
UACAGGGGGGGCAAGCGUUGUCCGGAAUUAUUGGGCGUAAAGAGCUCGUAGGCGGUGUGUCGCGUCGGUCGUGAAAACUUGGGGCUUAACUCUGAGCUUGCGGUCGAUACGGGCAUCACUGGAGUUCGGCAGGGGAGACUGGAAUUCCUGGUGUAGCGGUGAAAUGCGCAGAUAUCAGGAGGAACACCGGUGGCGAAGGCGGGUCUCUGGGCCGAUACUGACGCUGAGGAGCGAAAGCGUGGGGAGCGAACAGG